AGCGAACGUUAGCGGCGGGCUUAACACAUGCAAGUCGUACGAGAAAGUACCUUCGGGUAUGAGUAAAGUGGCGCACGGGUGAGGAACACGUGGGUAACCUACCCUCUGGCGCGGGACAACGGUUCGAAAGGACCGCUAAUACCGCAUAAGUUGUUGACGGCUUCGGCUGUUACCAAGAAAGGAUGGCCUCUAUUUAUAAGCUAUCGCCGGAGGAUGGGCCCGCGUCCCAUCAGCUAGUUGGUGAGGUAAUGGCUCACCAAGGCUUAGACGGGUAGCUGGUCUGAGAGGAUGAUCAGCCACACUGGGACUGAGACACGGCCCAGACUCCUACGGGUGGCAG
rnacentral:rRNA from 1 species